rnacentral:rRNA from 1 species
GACGAACGCUGGCGGCGUGCUUAACACAUGCAAGUCGAACGGAAAGGCCCUGCUUUUGUGGGGUGCUCGAGUGGCGAACGGGUGAGUAACACGUGAGUAACCUGCCCUUGACUUUGGGAUAACUUCAGGAAACUGGGGCUAAUACAGGAUAGGAGCUCCUGCUGCAUGGUGGGGGUUGGAAAGUUUCGGCGGUUGGGGAUGGACUCGCGGCUUAUCAGCUUGUUGGUGGGGUAGUGGCUUACCAAGGCUUGGACGGGUAGCCGGCCUGAGAGGGUGACCGGCCACAUUGGGAUUGAGGUGGGACCCAGAGUCCUACGGGAGGCAGCAGUGGGGAAUAGUGCACAAUGGGCGGAAGCCUGAUGCAGCAACGCCGCGUGCGGGAUGACGGCCUUCGGGUUGUAAACCGCUUUCGGCUGUGACGAAGCGUGAGUGACGGUAAUGGGUAAAGAAGCACCGGCUAACUACGUG